rnacentral:rRNA from 1 species
AACGAACGCUGGCGGCAGGCUUAACACAUGCAAGUCGAACGCGCCCUUCGGGGCGAGUGGCAGACGGGUGAGUAACGCGUGGGAACCUACCUUUUGGUACGGAAUAACUCAGGGAAACUUGAGCUAAUACCGUAUGUGCCCUUCGGGGGAAAGAUUUAUCGCCAAAGGAUGGGCCCGCGUCGGAUUAGCUAGUUGGUGGGGUAAUGGCCUACCAAGGCGACGAUCCGUAGCUGGUCUGAGAGGAUGAUCAGCCACACUGGGACUGAGACACGGCCCAGACUCCUACGGGAGGCAGCAGUGGGGAAUAUUGGACAAUGGGGGCAACCCUGAUCCAGCCAUGCCGCGUGAGUGAUGAAGGCCUUAGGGUUGUAAAGCUCUUUCGCCGGUGAAGAUAAUGACGGUAACCGGAGAAGAAGCCCCGGCUAACUUCGUGCCAGCCGCCGCUGUAA